CUCGGAGUUUGAUCCUGGCUCAGAUUGAACGCUGGCGGAAUGCUUUACACAUGCAAGUCGAACGGUAGAGGGGGCAACCCCUUGAGAGUGGCGAACGGGUGAGUAAUAUAUCGGAACGUGCCCAGUCGUGGGGGAUAACGUAAGUGAAAACUUACGCUAAUACCGCAUACGAUCUAAGGAUGAAACGCGGGGGAUCGCAAGACCUCGCGCGUAUUGGAGCGGCCGAUAUCAGAUUAGGUAGUUGGU
rnacentral:rRNA from 1 species